rnacentral:RNase_P_RNA from 1 species
CCAGCCGGCCGGACGGCCGCCGCUUCUUGCGGAGGAAAGUCCGGGCUCCACGGAGACACGGCGCCGGAUAACGUCCGGCGGGGGCGACCCCAGGGAAAGCGCCACAGAAAACAAACCGCCAAACGGAGCAGGCUUCGGCUUGCGCCGGCAGGUAAGGGUGAAAUGGUGCGGUAAGAGCGCACCGCGCGCAUGGCGACAUGAGCGGCAAGGCAAGCCCCGCCGGGAGCAAAACCGAAUAGGGGCGACGCGAGGUCUUCGCAAGAAGGGUUCUCAGGUCCGUCUCCGGAUCGUCGCCCGGGUGGGUUGCUCGAGGCGGCCGGCAACGGCCGUCCCAGAGGAAUGGCCGUCACGCGCGCGGUUCGCCGCGCGCCAUACAGAACCCGGCUUACAGGCCGGCUGGCGCU